GAGUAGUUAAAAGAUAGAACGGUCUAGCCAAGUGCCAUGUCUCUUAUUCUUGAUCAGCUAUAGCUCUGGAGUUUUUUGCAGAUUUUCAAAUAAAACUCAGAGAUUCCUUGUAUGACUCUCUCAAAUCUCUCUUUUGUGGUAUUUUUGGAUCCUUACCAAGGCAGUGAUGGUAUAUGCCUUCUCUCAAAGCAUGUAGUAUUUAUGGUAUAAGGCAUGGUGACAUUGCCUUCUCUCUCACCCUACUCUAAUAAGGUUUUGAUAUCUGGAGCUCAUAGGUGGGAGAUAAAAUAUACAUACUUACAAGACAUUUAUUGCAUAGUCAAACCAUGGAUCCAAAGAAACAAAUCAAUAAGUCAAAUCAAGAUGUGCAUGUGUGGCGAAUGAAUGGUGUAUGGUGAUGAUGGUGAUAACAAUGGUGAAAGUCUAAUUCUACUUUUGCUCUCUUGAGGGGAUACAUACCUUUCUUGCUCUUUUGAAACUUGAGGAAAAUGAGAUGCUCUAUAUUUUAUUUUUCUUUCCUCUCAGGUGGGUAUCUUGUACCCCUAAUUCUACUAUCGGACACUUGUCCAUUUUUACCUCUCGUCUCACUUUUUCUCUUCUUUCGAGGUUCCGGGCACUUGCCCGUUUUUAUUUCCUCGUAUCUUUUUUUUCUCUCUUUUUUUAGAGCACUCAUCUCCUGAGAUAAUAUAGUAAGUGGUAGUAACCAAGAUAACUUGAGCAUUUAUUUCACAUGGGAAAAACAGAAAUAUUUUUGGCUAUUCUCUCCCGGAUUAGGAGUAGAAUAUUUUUGGGUGAUUCUGGAGAUGGAAAUGGGUGAAUAUAUGUGGAUGCGUACUUCCGGAGUAGAAGUAACAUGUGUGAGUGAACGUGGUGAUGCAAAAACGGAUCUGCAAACACAAAGAGCUAAUACCCGAUUCAAACGUUAAGGCAUGCCAGCCGAUUUGACCUUACUAUCGACAAAGGUGAUAACUUGAAUACUUUGGUCCUGACAACAGCGAUGCGCCCGGAUGUCACGGCCAAGAGGUAUUCACACGGAACUUGAGAAUACGCCGAGCUUAAGUCGACGAACUCCUAAGAACUCGUAGUAAAAGGAAAAUAUGACGAAGUCAUCGAAAAAGUAGAUGCUGUAAUAUGAGUAAAAACUUGUGUUUGAUUGAUUGAUAGAUUAUUCAUUACAAGGCCCUAGGGUCUACAUUUAUACCCUGCUCAAAGAGCUACAAUCAGACAUGACUAGGAUUGGAAUUCCAAAUUAAACAGAGCCCGUAUACAAAACGAAUCUAGAGAACUAAGUAAAAUACAAAAUUAUCUUCCCGCAACCGAUCAGGACACCACCACGGGUCAAUCGGCAACUCCUGCAGAGCCAUCGGCAACCUCCCUGCUAUCACCAUCUGC
rnacentral:lncRNA from 1 species